AAUUCGCCCUUAGAGUUUGAUCAUGGCUCAGGAUGAACGCUGGCGGCGUGCUUAACACAUGCAAGUCGAACGAUGAUCCGGUGCUUGCACCGGGGAUUAGUGGCGAACGGGUGAGUAACACGUGAGUAACCUGCCCUUGACCCUGGGAUAAGCCUGGAAUCUGGGUCUAAUACCGGAUAUGACUCCUCAUCGCAUGGUGGGGGGUGGAAAGCUUUUGCGGUUUUGGAUGGACUCGCGGCCAAUCAGCUUGUUGGUGAGGUAAUGGCUUACCAAGGCGACGACGGGUAGCCGGCCUGAGAGGGUGACCGGCCACACUGGGACUGAGACACGGCCCAGACUCCUACGGGAGGCAGCAGUGGGGAAUAUUGCACAAUGGGCGCAAGCCUGAUGCAGCGACGCCGCGUGAGGGAUGACGGCCUUCGGGUUGUAAACCUCUCUCAGUAGGGAAGAAGCGAAAGUGACGGUACCUGCAGAAGAAGCGCCGGCUAGCUACGUGCCGGCAGCCGCGGUAAUACGUAGGGCGCAAGCGUUAUCCGGAAUUAUUGGGCGUAAAGAGCUCGUAGGCGGUUUGUCGCGUCUGCCGUGAAAGUCCGGGGCUCAACUCCGGAUCUGCGGUGGGUACGGGCAGACUAGAGUGAUGUAGGGGAGACUGGAAUUCCUGGUGUAGCGGUGAAAUGCGCAGAUAUCAGGAGGAA
rnacentral:rRNA from 1 species